CGUCCUAAAUCUUCAACAUUAUGCUUAACUGUUUCGAUGUUUUUUUUCUUCUGCAGAUUCGGAAUCCGGUGUUUGAUCAAACAGAGUCCUAUAUGUCAAAUUUGUAAGCAAAUUAGAGUAUCUAGAUUUAUCAAUGGCUGUCAUUUCAAAAGAAGAUUUAGCAAUUUUAAUGAGAAGAUGUAAAAACUUAAAGAAAUUAAGUUUGGAAGCUUGUCCAACAGACUCAAAGGUUUGCGAAGGAAUUGGACAGAAUACUAAGUUGGAAGUCCUUAAUAUGGCAUUGUGCACUGAAGUAGAUGCAGAUGGUGUUAAAUUUAUCACAACUAAUUGUCCGAAAUUGCUGGAAUGGAAUUUAGGAUGGACCAACCUUUCUCCAGAGGCUGUAGAAAUUGUAUGUAGCUUUGUGUCUGAAAAAAUUGAAGCCCUAAAUCUAAGUGGAGCUAAAUCAGUUUCCAAUGAAGGUAAGUUCUGGCUUUUGUUUUUUCUAGAGAGGGUGAUCUCUUUUUCUGAAUCAUCCUGUAGAAGUUAUUAACCUUUUAAUAAGUGUCUUCAUUUUUAGUCUAUUUUCCGAUGAAAAUACACAAUUUUUUAUUCUUAUUAUU
rnacentral:lncRNA from 1 species